GCGUCCAUUGUCUAAUGGAUAGGACAGAGGUCUUCUAAACCUUUGGUAU
rnacentral:tRNA from 1 species